UGAAGUCGGAAUCGCUAGUAAUCGCGGAUCAGCAUGCCGCGGUGAAUACGUUCCCGGGCCUUGUACACACCGCCCGUCACACCAUGAGAGUCGGGAACACCCGAAGUCCGUAGCCUAACCGCAAGGGACGGGGCGCGGCGAAGGUGGGUUUCGAUAAUUGGGGUGAAGUCGUAACAAGGUACC
rnacentral:rRNA from 1 species